GGUUCAAGUCCCUCUAUCCCCACCCAGG
rnacentral:tRNA from 13 species